rnacentral:rRNA from 1 species
CAGUAGCCGCGGUAAUACGUAGGUGGCAAGCGUUGUCCGGAUUUAUUGGGCGUAAAGCGAGCGCAGGCGGUUCCUUAGGUCUGAUGUGAAAGCCCCCGACUCAACCGGGGAGGGUCAUUGGAAACCGGGGAACUUGAGUGCAGAAGAGGAGAGUGGAAUUCCAUGUGUAGCGGUGAAAUGCGUAGAUAUAUGGAGGAACACCAGUGGCGAAGGCGACUCUCUGGUCUGUAACUGACGCUGAGGCUCGAAAGCGUGGGUAGCAAACAGGAUUAGAUACCCCAGUAGUCCCUGUCUCUUAUAA